rnacentral:Y_RNA from 1 species
GGCUGGUCCAAUGGUAGUGAUCAGAACUUAUUCACAUUAGUGUCACUAAAGUUGGUAUUCAACCCCCCACUGCUAAAUUUGACUGGCUUUUA